GUGUUUAUUACUUAUACAAGUUAUGAAUUUGAGAUAUUGCACGGCAUGCUAGGUUCCGGAAAACCUAUUUUGAUCAUGAUAUAUAUGUUUUCAUAAACCUGGGGGUUAGUAUGUUGAUAACUGUUUUAUUAUAUUUAUAUCAAAUUGGUCCACUCAUGUUUGUUUUGCGCCCCCUUCAGGACCUACGAACGAGGAUUACGAUAUAAGCUACGAGGC
rnacentral:lncRNA from 1 species